UACAGAGGGUGCAAGCGUUGUUCGGAAUUACUGGGCGUAAAGCGUGCGUAGUCGGUAUUGAGAGUCGCGGGUGAAAUCCCAGGGCUUAACCCUGGAACUGCCUGCGAGACCUCAGUACUAGGGUGUGAGAGGGGAUAGUGGAAUACCCAGUGUAGCGGUGAAAUGCGUAGAGAUUGGGUGGAACACCGGUGGCGAAGGCGGGUCUCUGGGCCGAUACUGACGCUGAGGAGCGAAAGCGUGGGGAGCGAACAGG
rnacentral:rRNA from 1 species